UACAGAGGUCUCAAGCGUUGUUCGGAUUCAUUGGCGUAAAGGGCGCGUAGGCGGCGUGACAAGUCACUUGUGAAAUCUCUGAGCUUACUCAGAACGGCCAAGUGAUACUGCAGUGCUAGAGUGUGGAAGGGCAAGUCGGAAUUCUUGGAUGGUAGCGGUGAAUGACGUAGAUAUCAGGAGGAACACCGAGUGGCGAAGGCAGGUCUCUGGGCGAUUAACUGACGCUG
rnacentral:rRNA from 1 species